CGGUACGUGAGCUGGGUUCAGAAUGUCGUGAGACAGUUUGGUCCAUAUCUGGUGUGGGUGUUAGAGCAUUGAGAGGACCUUUCCCUAGUACGAGAGGACCGGGAAGGACGCACCUCUGGUGUACCAGUUAUCGUGCCCACGGUAGACAUUGGGUAGCCAAGUGUAGAGCAGAUAACUACUGAAAGCAUAUAAGUAGGAAUUCCACCCCAAGAUGAGUUCUCUCCUAUUCUUACUUCCCUGAGAGCCCUAGUUGCGAACACGAUUGGGACAAUGAUGGGUUCUCUAUCCUUGCAGGGGAUGGAGCGACAAAAGUAUUGAGAAUCCAAGAUAAGGUCACGACGAGAUGAGCCAUUUAUCAUUACGAUAGGUGUCAAGUGGAAGUGCAGUGAUGUAUGCAGCUGAGGCAUCCUAACAGACCGAGAGAUUUGAACCU
rnacentral:ncRNA from 1 species